AAUGAACGCUGGCGGCGCGCCUAAUACAUGCAAGUCGAGCGAGAAGACGUAGCAAUACGUUUGUAAAGCGGCGAACGGGUGAGGAAUACAUGGGUAACCUACCCUCGAGUGGGGAAUAACUAGCCGAAAGGUUAGCUAAUACCGCGUACGCUCCUUGGACUUCGGUUCAGGGAGGAAAGCGAUACCGUGGGUAUCGCGCUCUUGGUUGGGCUCAUGUCCUAUCAGCUUGUUGGUGAGGAACGGCUCACCAAGGCUUCGACGGGUAGCUGGUCUGAGAGGACGAUCAGCCACACUGGCACUGCGACACGGGCCAGACUCCUACGGGAGGCAGCAGUAAGGAAUAUUGCGCAAUGGGCGAAAGCCUGACGCAGCGACGCCGCGUGGGGGAGUG
rnacentral:rRNA from 1 species